rnacentral:rRNA from 1 species
CUCUAACAUGUGUGCGAGUGUGAUUAUGUGGAUUGUGAGGAGUUUAAUCACCCUCAUGUUUUGCAUAUUCGUGCUCUUGGGUGUACUUGCCUGUGUGGUUAGUUAACAUCAAUUUUGGUUAUCAUAAAAUGGUUGGAGGAAUGUAGCUUCGAUCUCGUAUUGAAGUGUUAUAGCCUUUGGUAGAUAUGAUGUUUGAGACCGAGGAUUGCAACGGAUACCCUUUAGGGCUAUUCGUCUGAUCUCUGAUACGUUGCCUUGAUGUUGAAGCUUGCUUAUGAUGUUAUGGUAUUACGGUCUAAAAGGUUAGAACGGUAUUAGAUUCGUUAAGGAUGUUGACGUAAUG